AAACUAUGGUGUGGGCAUCUUCAGAGCAAUUCCUUGUACCUCUCCCAAGGUUCAUACAAAGAUUCCAUAUCAAACUGCAUAAAAUUUAUGAUGUCAUUCAGGAGCUU